rnacentral:rRNA from 1 species
UACGAAGGGGGCGAGCGUUGUUCGGAUUUACUGGGCGUAAAGGGCGCGCAGGCGGCCAUUCAAGUCAGGCGUGAAAGCCCCGGGCUUAACCUGGGAGGUGCGUCUGGGACUGGGUGGCUGGAGAUCGGGAGAGGAGAGUGGAAUUCCCAGUGUAGAGGUGAAAUUCGCAGAUAUCGGGAAGAACACCCGUGGCGAAGGCGGCACUCUGGGACGGUACUGACGCUGAGACGCGAAAGCGUGGGGAGCGAACAGG